rnacentral:rRNA from 1 species
AACAAAAUUAAAAAAGACGAGAAGACCCUAGAAACUUAUAGUUGAUUUUGCUGGGGCGGCAGAAUUGCAUAUAACCAAUUUUAAUUAACGUGAAGCGACGCANAAAGAAAAAGUUACUCUAGGGAUAACAGCAUAAUUUUAAUAGUUUGUGACCUCGAUGUUGGACUAGGGAUUCUACCCCCUAGAAGGGAGUAGUUAUGGCUCUGUUCGAGCUAAGAGCCCCUACGUGAUCUGAGUUCAAACCGGAC